rnacentral:rRNA from 6 species
GCGGCGUGCCUAAUACAUGCAAGUCGAGCGGACAGAUGGGAGCUUGCUCCCUGAUGUUAGCGGCGGACGGGUGAGUAACACGUGGGUAACCUGCCUGUAAGACUGGGAUAACUCCGGGAAACCGGGGCUAAUACCGGAUGGUUGUCUGAACCGCAUGGUUCAGACAUAAAAGGUGGCUUCGGCUACCACUUACAGAUGGACCCGCGGCGCAUUAGCUAGUUGGUGAGGUAACGGCUCACCAAGGCGACGAUGCGUAGCCGACCUGAGAGGGUGAUCGGCCACACUGGGACUGAGACACGGCCCAGACUCCUACGGGAGGCAGCAGUAGGGAAUCUUCCGCAAUGGACGAAAGUCUGACGGAGCAACGCCGCGUGAGUGAUGAAGGUUUUCGGAUCGUAAAGCUCUGUUGUUAGGGAAGAACAAGUGCCGUCAAAUAGGGC